rnacentral:lncRNA from 1 species
CCGAAAAUGAACGCUCCUUGUGGAUCAUCUGGAUGAAACACCAGGUGCCUGGACAGUACUGCACGAACUUCCCAAAACCAGCAAAGGGGAGCGCACAGAAAGCCAAGCAGAAGGCGGCCACGACCGGUGCCACCAGCACUCCCCGGCGCAAGGUGACGUGCCUUUGGUAGAAGAAGGGGUGUCCCAGAGACAGCCAGCACUCCACCGCCAUAGCCAACAGCUGUAAGGUCGAGGCUAGCCCAAAGAAGGACAUCAGGAAGGCGAACGUUUCGCAUAACUGAUUGCCUGAGGCAGGCAGCAGUUCCUUUAGGCUCUGGUUUUGCGCGUAGGCAGCCAGGACCAUCGGGCUGAUCAGACACUUGCCCAGCAAGUCGGUGACCGUCAAGCCACACACGAGCACAUAAAAGACCGAGGGCGGCGGGUGUAGUGGCCCUGGCCGGCAAGACCCCAGUCCCGAGCGCGCCAGCAGCACCAGCGCCAGAAGAUUGCCCAGAAGCCCCGCACCGAAGAGCACAGCGCCCAUCGUCGCCGAGGAGCCCCUUUCCACCCAGGUGGAUGUCUGACAGCGAUAGGACUCGUUCAUAGCCCUUGUCCCGUCUGACUGGAAGAAAGGCUGCAGCCAGGCCCGCUGUGAAGGAGCCCCAGGCUGCUCAGGGCGCAGCUAAGGCACAGAGGUUGUGCAGCAGAGAGAGCUCCACUGGUGGCUGGGUGUUAUUCACAGUCAGCCCUCCUAUCUAGGCUCCUCAGUCACACCCUUGAGGAAGGCAGGACUCCACCCCUGUGACCAGGUGACCUCUUCUACCUGUGAUGAUGACACUGCAGUUCACUCCCCAGGCCAGAGAUCAAGCUGCCACCUGGGAGGCCUGGUGCUACCUUGGAAAACCAGGUCUGCCUGCAGACACCUGAGCAGACACAGGUGAGACCUGAGACCUCAAAAGCAAACAUUCACAGAAAGUAUAUGAUGGGCCAAACCUGGAAACUGGAGGAGAGACAGGAGCAUGUUGUUCUCUGAGAGGCUCCACCCAGCAGCUGACUCAAACAGAUACAGAUACCCACAGCCAAACAGUGGAUGGAGCUUGUGGACUCUUAAGAAGAAUAGGAGGAAGGAUUUCAGGGCCCAAAGGGGAUAGGAACUCCACAAGAAGACUAACAGAGUCAACUCACCUGGACCCUUGGGUCUCUCAGAGUCUGAACCAUCAACCAAAGAACAUAGACAGGCUGCACCUAGGCCUCCCAGAUGUGUAGCAGAUGUGCAGCUUGGUCUUCAUGUGAGUCCUAAAAAAUCUGGAGUAUUAGCUAUCCCAAAAGUUGUUGCUAGUAAGUGAGAUAUGUUCUACUAGCUAAGCUGCCUUGUCUGGCCUCAAAGAGACUUGCAGUGCCAGGGUAGGGGGCAUACACAGGCUCUCCCUCCACUCUGAGAAGAAGGGGAGGGGGAGGGAUUAUGGGAGGAGUUAACUGAAAGGAGGAGCAGUGAACAGGGUGUAAAGUGAGUACGUAAAAAACAGUAAAAUUGAAUAAAAGAUUCCAGUGUAGCUUUCAUCAAUACUCAGCUGGAUCUCCUCAGAAUCUAUGAAGCUGAGAGUCAACCUCUGUGCAGGAUGAAAGUCACCACACAGCCUCUGGAUAAUUUUCAGUUGGCAUAUUGUAUACACUUUUUUAGCUGAUUUCACAUUAUCUAACAACACUCCACAUAGCCCUUGAACAUCAUAAUAUCUAGUUUGCCAGCUAAAUGAUAUAUAGUUCCUAUUGGCCACAGGCUUAUCAUUAUGUGUGAGUUUCUAGAUCAUUCUUUGAGGCCCUAAUGGAUAGUGCCUGAAAACCUAUCACCCACUUCUGGCAUAAUAUUCACAGCAUUUCAUGCAAAGCCUUUGAUCUGUGAUAAAAAAUAAAGUCCAUAGCAGG